rnacentral:lncRNA from 1 species
CUCCAUUUUAUACUAUGACCUUUAAAGCACACAUCCGUAAGAGCUCUCCGAUAUCAUUGAGAGGCAAUGCCAUGGCGUGCAAGGUGGCACGUUUGAUAAAUAGGAAAUAAAUGCCUCCCUUGCAUUCUUUGGGUUAUGGGAAGGAGAAGCUGAUGGCUAGCUCCUUUAGAGGGUUGACUUCAACUGUUCUGAUAUUCCUCUGCCAUUGUCUGAGAGAAGGAGAGAAGACAGCCUUUGUAGCUGGGAAACCUUUGUUAUUUUUUGCCUUAUCUUGUUUUUACGCAAUGGGUGAAGGGAAGAGAGGUGAAUAGUAACUUGUAUGAAGGAGAUGAAGUGCUGGUUCAAGGCCUUGAGAGGACCUGAGCCCUAGGACCAUGCCUCAGGACUACCUUGCAUGAUGACUCCUUGCUGUCCCCAGUCCACCUGGCCGUGCUGCUGCUCCAGUUUCAACUGUUCUGCCUGCGGCUAUGGAACACUGACCUGUUCACUGGACGUGCUACCUGUCCCAGACCUGCUGUUUUCAACUUUCUAGAGACAGCAGGAGUGGUAGAGAUACUCUCAAUGAUCAGCUAUGAAAAGCCAACUGACAUUUACUCCUGAGGUGCUGACCUGUUGUACACCCUCGACAACUACUGUGAUUAUUAUUGUUUGACCAUGCUGGUCAUUUAUGAACAUUUGAACAUCUUGGCCAUGUUCUGUUAUAAUCUCCACCCGGCACAGCCAGAAGAGGACUGGCCACCCCUCAUAGCCUGGUUCCUCUCUAGGUUUCUUCCUAGGUUUUGGCCUUUCUAGGGAGUUUUUCCUAGCCACCGUGCUUCUACACCUGCAUUGCUUGCUGUUUGGGGUUUUAGGCUGGGUUUCUGUACAGCACUUUGAGAUAUCAGCUGAUGUAAGAAGGGCUAUAUAAAUACAUUUGAUUUGAUUUGAUUUGGAGAGUCAAAGUAAUUAUCAAAUGUUUAUUAGAGAGGUAGCUAGAUGACAACAACAGCUUUUAUCUAUCAAUUUGCACUGUACUGUACAGUCAGUUCAUACACAGUUACAUCAGCAAGCCAUGCUGAUCACAUUAUCACAAAUAAUUUGCCAUGAAUGAAUUACAG